GUAAGGAAUAUUGGGCAAUGGAGGCAACUCUGACCCAGCCAUGCCGCGUGAAGGAUUGACGGCCCUCUGGGUUGUAAACUUCUUUUGUACGGGAAUAACCCUCCGAACGUGUUCGGAGCUGAAGGUACCGUAAGAAUAAGGAUCGGCUAACUCCGUGCCAGCAGCCGCGGUAAUACGGAGGAUCCAAGCGUUAUCCGGAUUUACUGGGUUUAAAGGGUGCGUAGGCGGAUUGAUAAGUCAGUGGUGAAAUCCUGCAGCUUAACUGCAGAACUGCCAUUGAUACUGCCAGUCUGGAGUAUGGUUGAGGUAGCUGGAAUGUGUCAUGUAGCGGUGAAAUGCUUAGAGAUGACACAGAACACCGACGGCGAAGGCAGGUUACCAACCCAUUACUGACGCUGAGGCACGAAAGCGUGGGGAUCAAACAGGAUUAGAAACCCCGGUAGUCU
rnacentral:rRNA from 1 species